ensembl:snRNA U2 U2 spliceosomal RNA
AUCGCUUUUUGGCCUUUUGGCUAAGAUCAAGUGUUGUAUUUGUUCUUAUUAGUUAAAAAAAAUCAGACUUUUUGGAGUGCACUAUGGGGUAUAAUACUCUAAAUCCCAU